rnacentral:rRNA from 1 species
UACGAAGGGGGCUAGCGUUGUUCGGAAUUACUGGGCGUAAAGCGCGCGCAGGCGGUUUUCCAAGUCAGUGGUGAAAGCCCGGAGCUCAACUCCGGAACUGCCAUUGAAACUGUUAAACUUGAGUACGAGAGAGGUGAGUGGAAUUCCCAGUGUAGAGGUGAAAUUCGUAGAUAUUGGGAAGAACACCGGUGGCGAAGGCGGCUCACUGGCUCGUAACUGACGCUCAGGCGCGAUAGCGUGGGGAUCAAACAGG